AUGGACCGUGCGGGAAUUAAAGAAGAAUUCAAAGCAUAUUUGCGCAAUGCCGGUCUUGAGGAUUUUGAGGCUAACAAAUGCCCCCAGUAUCAUGAUCUCACAAGUUCAUUUGUGAGGAGGUUUGAGUAUUCAUCUUUGCGUAAUUCUCCUUCAGUCAUGUUUGAUCUUUAUGAAAAAUCUUAUACCAUGGACCUAGAGGAUUUCACUUCUGCUUGCGAACUUCCAUCAUGGGACAGUAUUAGGGAUCCCCCUAAAUCUGAAUUUAGAAACUUUCUUGCUAGUAUAACUAUGGGGGAAUCCAGAGAUAUAACGCAAGCUACCAUAGGGAGCAUUCACUUUCCUGCUAUACAUUAUUUUGCUCUCUUCAUCGGUAGAUGCAUAAAUGCUAAGGAUGAAGCAUGUCACAUGUGUGUCCCUGAUCUCAGCAUUCUUAGGAGUGAUGUGUUAGGAGACCAAUCUUAUCAUAUGGGAGCCAUUGUAGCUCGUAGGUUGCAUCAUAAUAGACAUAAUGAAGAUUUCUUUGGAGGAAUUUAUGCAACCCGCUUAGCUCAUUUUCUUGAAAUAGACAUUCGUGAGGGUGAUAUGGAGUUGCCUCCUGCAUAUUUAGAUUAUAACUCUAUGGCUUCGCACCAGUUUGUCGAGAGGCCUGAAUCACCUCUCCUAUAUCGCUUAAUUUUUGAUAAACGACGUGUUUUCCGUAUUACUCUCCCUGCUCCUGCCUUCUUUGAUUCACAAAAAAAGGAAGAUAUGUUAUUACCAAAGAGGAGGUAG
rnacentral:rRNA from 1 species